UCGCAUCGAUGAAGAACGCAGCGAAAUGCGAUAAGUAAUGUGAAUUGCAGAAUUCAGUGAAUCAUCGAAUCUUUGAACGCACCUUGCGCUCCUUGGUAUUCCGAGGAGCAUGCCUGUUUGAGUGUCAUUAAAUUCUCAAUCCUUUCUGGGUUUACUCUCAGUUGGGCUUGGAUAUGGGGGUUUUGCUGGCUUUGCAUAAAACAAAGUCAGCUCUCCUGAAAGAUAUUAGCAAGACUUGUUGUUGCAACCCUCUAUCUGGUGUGAUAAUUAUCUACAUCAUAGAUUUGUACACCUAUAUGUCUGGCUUCUAACAGUCCAUUAAAUUGGACAAAACUCUGACAAUUUGACCUCAAAUCAGGUAGGACUACCCGCUGAACUUAAGCAUAUCAAUAAGCGGAGGAAAAGAAACUAACAAGGAUUCCCCUAGUAACUGCGAGUGAAGCGGGAAAA
rnacentral:rRNA from 1 species